rnacentral:rRNA from 1 species
UACGAAGGGGGCUAGCGUUGUUCGGAAUUACUGGGCGUAAAGCGUAUGCAGGCGGAUCGCUAAGUCGGGGGUGAAAUCCCGAGGCUCAACCUCGGAACUGCCUUCGAUACUGGCGAUCUUGAGUCCGGGAGAGGUGAGUGGAACUCCGAGUGUAGAGGUGAAAUUCGUAGAUAUUCGGAAGAACACCAGUGGCGAAGGCGGCUCACUGGCCCGGUACUGACGCU